rnacentral:rRNA from 1 species
AACGAACGCUGGCGGCAGGCUUAACACAUGCAAGUCGAACGGGCGUAGCAAUACGUCAGUGGCGGACGGGUGAGUAACACGUGGGAAUAUGCCUUUCGGUUCGGAACAACUCGGGGAAACUCGUGCUAAUUCCGGAUACGCCCUUACGGGAAGGAUUAUCGCCGAAGGAUUAGCCCGCGUUGGAUCAGCUAGUUGGUGAGGUAAUGGCCCACCAAGGCGACGAUCCAUAGCUGGUUUGAGAGAACGACCAGCCACACUGGGACUGAGACACGGCCCAGACUCCUACGGGAGGCAGCAGUGGGGAAUCUUGGACAAUGGAGGGAAACUCUGAUCCAGCCAUGCCGCGUGAGUGAUGAAGGCCUUCGGUUG